rnacentral:misc_RNA from 1 species
UACAGAGGGUGCGAGCGUUGUUCGGAAUUAUUGGGCGUAAAGCGAGUGUAGGCGGGAUUGCAAGUCGGGUGUGAAAGCCCUCAGCUCAACUGAGGAAGUGCGCCCGAAACUGCAGUUCUUGAGUGUCGGAGAGGGUGGCGGAAUUCCCGGUGUAGAGGUGAAAUUCGUAGAUAUCGGGAGGAACACCAGUGGCGAAGGCGGCCACCUGGACGAACACUGACGCUGAGACUCGAAAGCGUGGGGAGCAAACAGG